GCAACCUGUUGGGCGCUUUUAACAUGCACAACUGCCCAAUGGUGCCAGAGCAGGCGGUGGACGUGGCGGCCGAGGCGGAGGGUCUCGUUCGGGUACAACAAGCAAUAGUUCUCGCUCCAGCUCAUCAAGUGGCAGUUCUCGCUGGGGUUCCAGCUCCAGUAGUGGAUCAAGCAGAUGGAGUGCAUCAGCAGUACUUCCAGGUUUCACCUAUAAACAACGUAGCCCUCCAAGCAAAAUACCGGAAGCUUAUCUUGGCGCAUUCAGUAAUGGGGAAGACAAGAUGAACCACAUUAGCGCUUUGUGGAAUAUUUUCAAUAUUUCGGACACAACCGAUCUGACGAAGGGGAACACCUUCGAAUUCGUACCGGGAAGUUUCGGCGAAUACGAUGCAUAUUGCGUUGUCUUUAAAAAUGCCCCCAGCAGCC